rnacentral:piRNA from 1 species
CUGGGAUGUGGAGACAGGGAAUU